UAGUUUUUAAAUAAUUAUAGGUUAAAUUUUAAUUAUUUUAUGUGUAUAAUUAUAAUUUUAAAUUUUGAAAAUCGAAUUAGAUUAGUACCUAAUUAGUCAAAAGUUAAAAGAGCAGAAGUAAAGUAAAAUUUAAACUGAAAGAAUAUUGGCAGAUUUUCUAAAUUAUCUUUGGAGGUUGAGUAAUAAUUGAGAACCCUCAUUAACUACUUUUUUAGUGGUCUCAUGUAUGAUCGUUUAUUAUAUGCUUAAGGUAUAUAAUUAAAAAUUAUUUAUUUAUAAAAAUAGAUAUAUAUUUGGUUUAUAUAAAAGUAAUAUUUGACCUACAAUAAUUUGUAAUUGUGGAUCUACUUUUUUGUGAAGUAGUGAAAAUGUAAAAGACAGUAAAAAAAUUUUUAUGGUUUUUUGAAGAUUAUUUAGAAGU
rnacentral:rRNA from 1 species